CAAGUCCAGCCCGGUCAAAGUCGUAGCGGACAGGCCGGUAGCGAGUGUUGCCAUUCGUCGGGUGACUGGCGGGUGCGAAGCGUACACAGUGAGUAAGCAGGCCGUGAGGAUUCAGCUCCGAAAUCUUUUCCUCGUUGCGAUGCCGACGCCGUUAUGAGGGCGGAAGGCAGCAUCCGAGCCACCGUUAUGCGAGGUGAACUCGGGGUCGCCGGAGUCCCUAGCCC
rfam:Freshwater sediment metagenome lwMethenol_C319, whole genome shotgun sequence.